rnacentral:tRNA from 1 species
GCCCCUAUAGCUCAGCAGGUAGAGCGCAUCCAUGGUAAGGAUGAGGUCGCCAGUUCGAAUCUGGCUGGGGGCUCCA